CUUCAUGCUCUGCUGGCCAAGAGGUCUUAGUUCCAGUGGGAGGAAUAUUACCACCAGUAGACAUAACAAUGACUCUAUUGAACUGGAAGUUAAGACUGCCACUAGGCCACUUUGGGCUCCUUAUGCCUGGGUCAACAGGCCAAGGAGGGAGUUAUAGUGUUGGCUGCAUGGCUGAUCUGACUACUAAGGGGAAAUUGGACUACUGCUCAACAAUGGAGAUUCUCUCUGGACUAUUUCAUGGCUCAGGAACCACAUCCUCCUUCCCCACUUCCUGAGUGUAUGGGAUGGCCACAUAUACUGAAGCUCAAUCUUAUGAAAAGAGCAUUUCAGAGGCAGGAGGAUCUGGAUUUGAAUUCCGGCUUGAUCCUGGGCUGAACAGGACCAGUUCUGCUUUCUGCCCUGGGGCAAGUUACCCAACAUCGCUGAGCAUCUGUUUCCUUCACUAUAAAAUGAGGAUGAUGAUACCACGUGGGAUUGUUGAGAAGAUAAAAAGAGAAAGCACUUGAAAAGCUUCUAAACAUGACCUCUCACAAAGCUGUUCAAUAACUGUUAGCUCCCUUUUCUCCUCCUUGCAGCUGCUGUUUCCUGGAGUUGCAAACGUUUCUAGGUGAGCUCAUGUGAGACCAUCUGAAACAUUCCAAGAAGUAGUCCAGAUGUAAAGACAGCUUUAUCUUUGGCCAGGUGCAGUCUUACUAGAAUGGCCCAUCCUGGUAGAGAAUCAUGUGGCCCCUUAGACAACUAUGACACCAGGAAUUGGAUGAAACAAAGUUUCAGCUACAGGAUGAGGAUAUAUAGAUAAAUGUUGAUGACAUAUUUCUUUCCUUUUUUGGUUUCCUUUUCCCUUGAAAAUGCUUUCAGAUCUCUGAGACAUCCCGUUGUCAUCUUCCUCUUUUAAAACCCUUCGUGUGCUCUUUUCUAUGAAGGGCUGGUUGGCAGCUGAUGAGGCCCCAGGCUGGAAGGAACUCACCGGCUCAUGGCUCACCAACCCCUAACUACAGCUGGGCAGGCAAGGAGGGAGGCUGCAAUUUCAUUCACUUCUUUAGAUUGAUGUUUUGACAUCUUUAGAAGCCUCUGUUAAAAUGGAAAUGUGGAAUCUGAGUAGUGUGGUCAAACUGGUAUACGAGGACAUUUUGGUGGUGACUCAAGUCUGAUGAAGCUUUUCUAGUAAUUUGUGCCUUCCAUUUCCUAGGAACAAGAGUGAGUGAGGACUAAGGACACAAAACAGCAGCAGUUUCAGCCCCACUCCUAUAAUAUUCUAAAAGCUUGUCCUUAGAUCUUGAUAUUCUUCUCUCAGGCAGAGAGCUUAAGAAUAUUAGAGAAAUAUCCUGAUACUUUUGCAUUUUAAGGUAAGCCACAGCCAGAAAGAACAAUGGGAGGCCCAGAAGCCCACCUCCAACCACUCCAACCAGAUACACCAAGGACUCUGGCUCAGACCAGAUACAGCCACCUUGGUGAUCCAGAGAGGCCUCCUGCUGGGUGCAGUGGCUCAAGCCUGUAAUCCCACCACUUUGAGAAGCUGAGGUGGGAGGAUUGCUUGAAGCCAGGAGUUCAAGACCAGCCUGGGCAACAUAGCAAGACCCCAUCUCUACAAAAGAAAAAAAGAGAGAGAGAGUGAGAGAGGCCUCCUAUCAGGAAUCAUGCUCAAGUUCCAAUUCAAUUUCAAUGAGAGAUAAGGGAGUAAACAGCAGGAAGGAGGGAGAUUCCAGAAGACCCCAAGACUGCAUUGUUGGGCUGUCAUUGUUCAUGGGAAUUACUCACCCAUGGGUCUCCAUCGGGUUUCACCCACAGGUCUGUGCACCAUGUCUUGCUCUCUAGGAACCAGAACAUCUCUAUGGUUCUUUGGAUAGAAGUACUCUAUUUCAGUGACUCUUAGAUUUUUGUUUAUUUUUAAAAAGGGAUAGUUGUGGUGAAUUGCAUUAGGAUUACUAAAAUAAAAGCAUUAAGAAACUCCCCAAAACUCCAAAUACAUCUGGAGUCAUUCUUUCCUAAUAGGGACAAUAUUUUAUUACCAAAAAUGGUAGAAGGGUUAGAAGGGCCUAAGUCUCAGGAUAAAGGAUAGUUCAUUGCAUUUAACUAAUUCACAUUCAGAAAAAUGUUUUUCAAAUUGAUCUUAUUUUUCUUAUUUUGCCAUGGAUUGAUAAAACUUUAUCACAAAUUAGAACAGAGAAUUAGGAGGUCUAUGUUUAAAUCCAGACCCUGAUGCUAUUUACAUCCCCUAGGCAAAGGAAUUAUUCUCUCUGACUUUUAUUUUGUUAUUUCCUAAAGGAAAGAAUUGUAUUAGUUGAUUUCUUAAGCAGCUCUCACUUUCUUUGAGCUCCUAUUUCUCUGAUUGUAAUGUGGAAAACUGAGCUCUAUUUCAUACAUAACCACACCCUUCAUCUAACAUUUUAUAACAAAUAUUGUUUCCCUGAUUUCUCCAUUUGCAGCCCAGAUAACAACUCUCUUCCUAGGAUUAGUGAAAGCUUGUAGUAUCAUACAAAACCCAGUAAUUUUCCCACUAAUCGGGGAGUUUCCCAGAAUUAUCUGCCAAAGGUUAUUUUGGCACCUAACAACGUUUUUUACUUUUCCGUCAUCAGUAUUAUCAUCAACAAAAAAUAUUUCUUAAGUUAACAAGGAAAAUACUGAAUACAGAGAAUAAAGACAUAAUCAUAGAAUGGGUAAAAGUUCAGGCAGUCUGUUAGAGAGCAGUACUUUUCUCAUAUCUUAACCACAUCAAGGACCUGGGACAGGGAUGAUGGUGAUUGGAGCGGCAGCUUUGAGGGUCACAUACUGAUGUCGUCAGUGGAAAGAGAAGCCAGCACCCCCCUUCUCAUCAGUCCAAAACCAUCAUAGAAAAAAAAAAACAGGAUUACGUAAGAAGUUGGACUAUGGGGAGGGCAGGAGAAGUGAGACUUUAUGGGGCCAGAUGUCAAGGACAUUUCACAAAAGAGAGCCAUACCUUAGAUCAAUGCUGCGACUGGCUCCCAGAGACAUUUAGUCAUGUCUGGAAACAUCUUUGAUUAUCACAUCUGUGAAGGAGUGCUAUUGACAUCUAGAGAGUAGAAGCCAGAGGUGCUGCUAAACAUCCCAGAGAACACAGUCACCCUAUAAACACAGGGCAGCCCCCACAAUGAAGAAUUAUCCAGCCCAAAAUGUCAAUGGUGUUGAAGUUGAAAAAUCCUGCAUUGGAGUAAACUUGAGAGUGAUCAUGAGACUAAGAGCAAGAGAACAUUUGACGUCGGUGUGAUAAACAAGGAAAGGGAUAUCUUUGAGGCAGAGAAGAGGAAAGUGAGGAGGUACAUUCCUUACCAAAAUCUGGACACCUCCCAUCCUUUACUGAGGUUCUAGAAUCAGUCCUAAGAAGUACAGAAGAUCUAGCAUCCAGGCCGGGCCUGUUGUCCUGAGAGCAGAAGCAGGGAGUUGGGAUGAAAAGCAGAGGGACUACUGCUCUCCCUCAUCAGUGCAUUUACCAUGGAAAACUGCUGGUGUGAAGAUGGCUAAGACCACACUGAAUGAGAAGGAAUGAGAGCAAGUGACGUGAGGGCCAAGUCGUCAGACCCAGAGCAAAGCAUGGUGAGCAAAGUGGAUCUGCUCCCUCAAGAGGUGCAAACCUAACUCCUGGACUUUCCCCAGCUCAGAGCAGCUGCCCUGUUAGAACAGGGCCACACCAUUGCUGGGGUUUGGCACACAAAAAUCCCUGACCUUAAGUGCUCUGAGUUACUAAAUAAUCCCAGGGUAAUUAGGUAGUCCCAAGGGAAUCCCAUAGUUUAAAAUUAUGGGCUCCUGAAGGUCCUGUUUGGUCCCUAAAGUCUUACUAAGAUUCAUUAUUUCCUUAAUCAAUAGUUAUUGAAUACCUAUUACUUGCCAGGUCUGUCCAGCAGGUGAGAAAACAAUUGGAAGCAGAAACAGACAUAGUCCUCUCAUGCCUAGCACUUAGAGUCUUUCAGGAGAAAUAGUAAGUAAGCAAAUCAUCACGCAAGUAUCAUAGCUGAAAUGCAUGCUCUGAAGGCAUGAGGGAGUAUCAUGGGGCGUCUGUUAGUCAUGGGGGAACGGGGCAGCCUUUCCGUGAAAAUGGGGCCAGGAAGGCCUUUUAACUAAGGGGGAUUUACUGGCAAAAAGACUGUGAAUUUACAUUCUUGAUAGUGUGUCCAAGUGAGGUUGUAGGUUCAGGUGCAUUGACCCUCUGACAGGACUGAGAGAAGUUGCUAAGUCCCCCCGAAACAACCUCAUAUUCUGUCUUUUCAAUCUCAGUGGAGGCCAACUAAAUUUUCCAGUACUCAGGCCAAAAGUCUUGGGUCACCCUUUACUCUGCUCUUUCUCACGUCUCACAAUGAAUGAAUCUCUACUUAAAUUUUGCUAGUUCUAUGUUAAGAUUGUAUGCAGAAUCUGGCCAUUUCUCAUCAACUCCACUAUACCCUCAGUGCAAGCCACCAGCACCCCUCCUCUGGCUGCCUUCAGCAGCCUCCUAACUGAUCUCCUGACUCCUGUCCUUGCUCCCUAGUCUAUUCUGAAAAUAGCAGCUAGCAUAAUUCUUGCUCCCUACAGUCUAUUCUUGCUCCCUACAGUCUAUUCUGAAAAUAGCAGCUAGCAUAAUUCUUUUAAAAUGAAUGUCAGAUCACAUUGCUUGUUUGUUCAAAACCUUCUAAUGAUUCCCCAUUGCACUCAAGAGUAAAAGCCAAAGUCCUCCCUAAAACCCACAAGGCAAUUCACAAUCCACCUUCCCUGAAUCAUGUUCUAGGCCCCACCUACCUCCUUGCCUCCAGCACACUGGACUCCUUUAUUAUUCCAGACACUCUCCUUCCUCAGGCUCUUUGCAUGGGCUGCUUGCUCCCCUCGCCUGGAGUGCUCCUCCUCCCCAUGGCCACAUGGCUCCCUGCUUCAUGAACUACAAGUCUCUGCUCAGAUGCCAUCUUCUCCAUGAAGUGUGCCCUGACUAUCCAACUCAAAAUUACAACCUACCCCUCUGCACACAUUCCCCACUGCCAUUCCCUGCAGUCUGUUUUUCCAUAGCACUUAUUACUAUUUCCCAUCCUCUCUAUAUAACAGACUUAUUUAGUUUAUUCAUUGUUUAUCUUCCCCCAUUAGAAUUGUAUGCUCUUAGAGGCAGAGAUUUUAGUCUGCUUUGUUCACUGAUAUAUUUGAGCAUCCAGUAGAGUGCUUGGCAUAUACAUGUACACAGCAUAGAUAGAUAGAUAGAUAGAUAGAUAGAUAGAUAGAUAGAUGAUAGAUAGAUAAUAGGUAGAUGAUAGAUAGAUGAUAGAUAAUAGAUAGAUGAUGAUAGAUGAUGAUAGAUAGAUAGAUAGACAGAUAGAUAAUAGGUAGAUGAUAGAUAGAUGAUAGAUAAUAGAUAGAUGAUGAUAGAUGAUGAUAGAUAGAUAGAUAGACAGAUAGAUAAUAGGUAGAUGAUAGAUAGAUGAUAGAUAAUAGAUAGAUGAUGAUAGAUAGAUAGAUAAUAGAUAGAUAUGAAAAAACCAUGGCUAUUCAUUCCAUUGCUAUGUAGAUUUAUAAAUUAAUAUUUUAAAUAAAUCUUACAAUUGUACAAUAGUGAACACAGUUAGAUUGCAUUGCAGUUCAUAAAAAUAAUCAUUUUUUUCAAUAUAAGCUUUUUUUUCUUUUUUUUUGAACGAACGUCUUGCUCUACUGCCCAGGCUGGAGUGUAGUGGUGCGAUCACAGUUCACUGCAGCCUUGACCUCCUGGGCUAUAGCCAUCCUCCUGCUUCAAUCUCCUGAGUAGCUGGGACUAAAAGUGUGCACCACCACACCCAGCUAUGUUUUUGAUUUUUUGUAGAGGGGAGGUUUUAUCUUGUUGCACAUAUCUCAAACUCCUGGGCUCAAGCAAUUCUCCCACCUUGGCCUCCCAAAGUGUUGGGAUUACAGGCUUGAGCCACUUUGCCCAGCCUAGACAUUUUAAAUAUAGAAUUUCAUUAAUUUGAUUGAAGUAUGUCUUCAUUUUUGUUUUUAUUUUUAUUUUUUCAUGUCAAAGAUGUCAUAGCAUUUUAUUUCCGUUACAAAAGUCAACCAAUGAUAUUUUCAUUGAAAUAUCUGCACUGAAUGAUGAUUCAACAUAUGAGGCAAAGAGGGAGGUUUUUGGAAAAGGCAUUUAAGGUAGAACAUUAGCAAAUCUUACCGGUUGGCUAAAACAAAAAUGAGCUCGUUCAACCUGGCUGGAGGCCUGUUAGGGCUGUUCCUUCUCACUGUGGCCUGACUAAAAAACCAGUGACAUUAAGAAAGCAUCACAUUUCCCAAGUCUGGGGGUGCCCCAGUGGGGUGGUGCUGCUCUCAAAAGCCCUGUGUUCCUAAAAACAUCCAUCCUCACAAGAUCAGUUUCCCCAAGUGCUGGUUCCAAAAAUAAGCUCAGGGCUGGCAGAAAUUGUUCAGGAAGCUUCUUGAAGUCCCCUCCUUUAUUUCUCAGUCUGACUUUCAGCUUGUCCCAGCUACUGUAAGCAGCUUCGGCUUCCCAAGGUCACUGGCAACUCCUACUUUUGCUAAUAUCCUUGGUUUUCCAUGGCACGGGUUGUGACUGUUUUUUAGACUAGUGGUCCCCCAAUUAACUGCACCUCCACUUCAUACCCUUUUCUUGAAUCUGAGCCGGGCUUGUAACUUGUGUAGUAAGUAGAGGGCAUACUCCAGCUCUCUUCUGAUUAGAAAAAAUCCUCAUCGUUAUCAUAAUCAACAGAGGGCAGUAAAAGGGAUGCUGCGACAAUUCUGGACUUAAGUCUUCAGGAGGCCUGGCCACUUCUGCUUUCAAGCUCUUGGUAUGUGAGAGGUCUAGCUACCCUGCCAGCCAGCCACUGAAAGAGACAACACAGUGGUCUUUAAAUGGUUUCAAAUUUUGCUUAUCAAAAUGUAGUCAACAAAAAUGCAAGCCUUCCAAAUCCAAAUUCUGUCUUCACAUAAACUUUCUUGUGUCUGUUCUUCAUCUUUCUAGGGAGAGGGUGAAAGUCCACAUCUGUGGACUUUCUGUGCUGAAGUUUUCCAGGUUUUCUCAUGUGAAACUUUUCUGUUGUAUCAGGUCCACGUUUUCAC
rnacentral:lncRNA from 10 species